CAGUCGCCGCGGUAAUACGAAGGGGGCUAGCGUUGUUCGGAUUUACUGGGCGUAAAGCGCACGUAGGCGGACUUUUAAGUCAGGGGUGAAAUCCCGGGGCUCAACCCCGGAACUGCCUUUGAUACUGGAAGUCUUGAGUAUGGUAGAGGUGAGUGGAAUUCCGAGUGUAGAGGUGAAAUUCGUAGAUAUUCGGAGGAACACCAGUGGCGAAGGCGGCUCACUGGACCAUUACUGACGCUGAGGUGCGAAAGCGUGGGGAGCAAACAGGAUUAGAGACCCCUGUAGUCCCUGUCUCUUAUAC
rnacentral:rRNA from 1 species